GACGAACGCUGGCGGCGUGCUUAACACAUGCAAGUCGAACGGAAAGGCCCUGCUUUUGUGGGGUGCUCGAGUGGCGAACGGGUGAGUAACACGUGAGUAACCUGCCCUUGACUUUGGGAUAACUUCAGGAAACUGGGGCUAAUACCGGAUAGGAGCUCCUGCUGCAUGGUGGGGGUUGGAAAGUUUCGGCGGUUGGGGAUGGACUCGCGGCUUAUCAGCUUGUUGGUGGGGUAGUGGCUUACCAAGGCUUUGACGGGUAGCCGGCCUGAGAGGGUUACCGGCCACAUUGGGACUGAGAUACGGCCCAGACUCCUACGGGAGGCAGCAGUGGGGAAUAUUGCACAAUGGGCGGAAGCCUGAUGCAGCAACGCCGCGUGCGGGAUGACGGCCUUCGGGUUGUAAACCGCUUUCGCCUGUGACGAAGCGUGAGUGACGGUAAUGGGUAAAGAAGCACCGGCUAACUACGUGCCAGCAGCCGCGGUGAUACGUAGGGUGCGAGCGUUGUCCGGAUUUAUUGGGCGUAAAGGGCUCGUAGGUGGUUGAUCGCGUCGGAAGUGUAAUCUUGGGGCUUAACCCUGAGCGUGCUUUCGAUACGGGUUGACUUGAGGAAGGUAGGGGAGAAUGGAAUUCCUGGUGGAGCGGUGGAAUGCGCAGAUAUCAGGAGGAACACCAGUGGCGAAGGCGGUUCUCUGGGCCUUUCCUGACGCUGAGGAGCGAAAGCGUGGGGAGCGAACAGGCUUAGAUACCCUGGUAGUCCACGCUGUAAACGGUGGGUACUAGGUGUGGGGUCCAUUCCACGGGUUCCGUGCCGUAGCUAACGCUUUAAGUACCCCGCCUGGGGAGUACGGCCGCAAGGCUAAAACUCAAAGGAAUUGACGGGGCCCCGCACAAGCGGCGGAGCAUGCGGAUUAAUUCGAUGCAACGCGUAGAACCUUACCUGGGUUUGACAUGGAUCGGGAGUGCUCAGAGAUGGGUGUGCCUCUUUUGGGGUCGGUUCACAGGUGGUGCAUGGCUGUCGUCAGCUCGUGUCGUGAGAUGUUGGGUUAAGUCCCGCAACGAGCGCAACCCUUGUUCACUGUUGCCAGCACGUUAUGGUGGGGACUCAGUGGAGACCGCCGGGGUCAACUCGGAGGAAGGUGGGGAUGACGUCAAGUCAUCAUGCCCCUUAUGUCCAGGGCUUCACGCAUGCUACAAUGGCUGGUACAGAGAGUGGCGAGCCUGUGAGGGUGAGCGAAUCUCGGAAAGCCGGUCUCAGUUCGGAUUGGGGUCUGCAACUCGACCUCAUGAAGUCGGAGUCGCUAGUAAUCGCAGAUCAGCAACGCUGCGGUGAAUACGUUCCCGGGGCU
rnacentral:rRNA from 1 species